UACGUAGGGUGCGAGCGUUGUCCGGAAUUAUUGGGCGUAAAGGGCUCGUAGGCGGUUUGUCGCGUCGGGAGUGAAAACCUUGGGCUUAACUCAGGGCUUGCUUUCGAUACGGGCAGACUAGAGGUAUGCAGGGGAGAAUGGAAUUCCUGGUGUAGCGGUGAAAUGCGCAGAUAUCAGGAGGAACACCGGUGGCGAAGGCGGUUCUCUGGGCAUGAUCUGACGCUGAGGAGCGAAAGCGUGGGGAGCGAACAGG
rnacentral:rRNA from 1 species